rnacentral:rRNA from 1 species
GACGAACGCUGGCGGCGUGCCUAAUACAUGCAAGUCGAGCGAGCGGAACUAACAGAUUUACUUCGGUAAUGACGUUAGGAAAGCGAGCGGCGGAUGGGUGAGUAACACGUGGGGAACCUGCCCCAUAGUCUGGGAUACCACUUGGAAACAGGUGCUAAUACCGGAUAAGAAAGCAGAUCGCAUGAUCAGCUUUUAAAAGGCGGCGUAAGCUGUCGCUAUGGGAUGGCCCCGCGGUGCAUUAGCUAGUUGGUAAGGUAAAGGCUUACCAAGGCGAUGAUGCAUAGCCGAGUUGAGAGACUGAUCGGCCACAUUGGGACUGAGACACGGCCCAAACUCCUACGGGAGGCAGCAGUAGGGAAUCUUCCACAAUGGACGCAAGUCUGAUGGAGCAACGCCGCGUGAGUGAAGAAGGUUUUCGGAUCGUAAAGCUCUGUUGUUGGUGAAGAAGGAUAGAGGUAGUAACUGGCCUUUAUUUGACGGUAAUCAACCAGAAAGUCACGGCUAACUACGUGCCAGCAGCCGCGGUAAUACGUAGGUGGCAAGCGUUGUCCGGAUUUAUUGGGCGUAAAGCGAGCGCAGGCGGAAGAAUAAGUCUGGUGUGAAAGCCCUCGGCUUAACCGAGGAACUGCAUCGGAAACUGUUUUUCUUGAGUGCAGAAGAGGAGAGUGGAACUCCAUGUGUAGCGGUGGAAUGCGUAGAUAUAUGGAAGAACACCAGUGGCGAAGGCGGCUCUCUGGUCUGCAACUGACGCUGAGGCUCGAAAGCAUGGGUAGCGAACAGGAUUAGAUACCCUGGUAGUCCAUGCCGUAAACGAUGAGUGCUAAGUGUUGGGAGGUUUCCGCCUCUCAGUGCUGCAGCUAACGCAUUAAGCACUCCGCCUGGGGAGUACGACCGCAAGGUUGAAACUCAAAGGAAUUGACGGGGGCCCGCACAAGCGGUGGAGCAUGUGGUUUAAUUCGAAGCAACGCGAAGAACCUUACCAGGUCUUGACAUCUAGUGUCAUUUGUAGAGAUACAAAGUUCCCUUCGGGGACGCUAAGACAGGUGGUGCAUGGCUGUCGUCAGCUCGUGUCGUGAGAUGUUGGGUUAAGUCCCGCAACGAGCGCAACCCUUGUUAUUAGUUGCCAGCAUUAAGUUGGGCACUCUAAUGAGACUGCCGGUGACAAACCGGAGGAAGGUGGGGAUGACGUCAAGUCAUCAUGCCCCUUAUGACCUGGGCUACACACGUGCUACAAUGGGCAGUACAACGAGAAGCGAGCCUGCGAAGGCAAGCGAAUCUCUGAAAGCUGUUCUCAGUUCGGACUGCAGUCUGCAACUCGACUGCACGAAGCUGGAAUCGCUAGUAAUCGCGGAUCAGCACGCCGCGGUGAAUACGUUCCCGGGCCUUGUACACACCGCCCGUCACACCAUGGGAGUCUGCAAUGCCCAAAGCCGGUGGCCUAACCUUCGGGAAGGAGCCGUCUAAGGCAGGGCAGAUGAC